CAUUUCCCAAGGGUCUUUGGUCUCAGGAGAUCUGUGCUGGGGUGGGGAUGGGGGGUAUGGUCUUAUCAGGAGCGCGGGCAGACCUCCCUUAAAGUCAGGGAGGGUGACAUUACUAGGAACUUUAAGGAGCCCUGGGAGCCCGAGGAGGCUUCUGGUGAAUAUGGUAGAAUGACUGAUUGAAUGAAUGAAUGAAUGAAUGGGUGAGUAGGCCCGAGACUGAGACUGGGCCGUUAGAUGUGAUAUCGUAAGUGGCCAUCCACAGGGUGUGUGCUCUGCAAUUCAGCGCAGGCACCACCCCUUCUGCUGUGUGUCCUCUAAACUCCUGUAGGUUGAGAAGCCGGAUGAAGGUCUUUGUGAGAGAAUUCGGGUGCAGAGGACAGAGCGACGGCCUAAGUGACUUUCUAAUGCAUGGUUCCUGUGGGUUUUAGAAUCUGGACUUUUAACAUCGAUUUUCUGAGCCCGGUGGUAAUUUCUCCUUCCUCCCUUUUAAAUGUUCAUUAGCUAGGUCAGCUUAGGGGAACCUGGAGGAGCAAUCCGGAAGCGCCCUCCUCUGCCCCAGCAGCCAAGAGCCGUCAGGCAGGGGCGUGUUGCUCCUGUUCUUUUUUGGGUUACGCUGAAAGUGCUGAAAAGGGGCAGGAAGCUCCAGGCCACAAAAAUGUCAUUUUAUUGUCAUCCUGCCCAAGGUCCAGCCCCUCUGCUCCUAUACAUUCUCUUGGCCUGUCUUACAGAAAAUGUAUAUGGGCUAAGAUCAAACCCAUUUUUUUUUUUUUUUAAUUAAACUAAUGGAUUGCAUUCUUAUGUGAAACACAGUUCCAAACGGUGAUGCCCUGGAAACCUGGCCCUUAGUCUUGGCGAUUCGAAUUCCUGGCUCUGUCUGGACACACAGUGGGUGCUGAAUGAAUGCUUCUUUUAUUGAAAUCAGGGCUGAAAUGGCAAACCUGGUUGGGGACAUGUACCUGGAUAGAAUCCGUUUCUGUGUCAGUUUCUUUCCUGUGUCUCAUUGAUGAGUGUCCUAAUGUUGAUUUAAAAAAAAAAAAAAAGUGAAACACUGUAUUUAGUGAAUUAAAAAAAAA